rnacentral:rRNA from 1 species
ACUGCUAAUACUCUAUACUCCUGUCUUACAUAAGUUAGAUAGGGAAAGUUUUUCGGUGUAGGAUGAGGCUAUAUUGUAUCAGCUAGUUGGUGAGGUAAUGGCUCACCAAGGCUAUGACGCAUAACUGGUCUGAGAGGAUGAUCAGUCACACUGGAACUGAGACACGGUCCAGACUCCUACGGGAGGCAGCAGUAGGGAAUAUUGCUCAAUGGGGGAAACCCUGAAGCAGCAACGCCGCGUGGAGGAUGACACUUUUCGGAGCGUAAACUCCUUUUGUUAGGGAAGAAUAAUGACGGUACCUAACGAAUAAGCACCGGCUAACUCCGUGCCAGCAGCCGCGGUAAUACGGAGGGUGCAAGCGUUACUCGGAAUCACUGGGCGUAAAGGACGCGUAGGCGGAUUAUCAAGUCUCUUGUGAAAUCCUAUGGCUUAACCAUAGAACUGCUUGGGAAACUGAUAAUCUAGAGUGAGGGAGAGGCAGAUGGAAUUGGUGGUGUAGGGGUAAAAUCCGUAGAGAUCACCAGGAAUACCCAUUGCGAAGGCGAUCUGCUGGAACUCAACUGACGCUAAUGCGUGAAAGCGUGGGGAGCAAACAGGAUUAGAUACCCUGGUAGUCCACGCCCUAAACGAUGUAUACUAGUUGUUGCUAAGCUAGUCUUGGCAGUAAUGCACCUAACGGAUUAAGUAUACCGCCUGGGGAGUACGGUCGCAAGAUUAAAACUCAAAGGAAUAGACGGGGACCCGCACAAGCGGUGGAGCAUGUGGUUUAAUUCGAAGAUACGCGAAGAACCUUACCCGGACUUGAUAUCUAACAAAUCAUCCAGAGAUGGAAGAGUGUCUGCUUGCAGAAAUGUUAAGACAGGUGCUGCACGGCUGUCGUCAGCUCGUGUCGUGAGAUGUUGGGUUAAGUCCCGCAACGAGCGCAACCCACGUCAUUAGUUGCUAACAGUUCGGCUGAGCACUCUAAUGAGACUGCCUUCGUAAGGAGGAGGAAGGUGUGGACGACGUCAAGUCAUCAUGGCCCUUAUGUCCGGGGCGACACACGUGCUACAAUGGCAUAUACAAUGAGACGCAAUAUCGCGAGAUGGAGCAAAUCUAUAAAAUAUGUCCCAGUUCGGAUUGGAGUCUGCAACUCGACUCCAUGAAGCCGGAAUCGCU